AGGACUUUGAAGACCCAAGCAGCCAAAAAAUAGCUAAUUCCUCCUUAUUUCAGUUGGUAUGAAGAGAAGGUUACUAAUAAUGCUGCUCUUCCAGCACAAGUCUUCUGGGCUGUCAGUGAGCUUGGUCAGUGGGAACCACAGGAAAUUAUGAGUUAUGUUUGUUAUAUAUGAGAGGAAAAUUGAGGCUACCAGUCUUGUCACAGGGUUUAUAGAUAAUUGCCUUGUGUGCCACCAUGCCUGGAUAAUUUUUGUAUUUUUAGUAGACAGGGGAUUUCACCAUGUUGGCCAGGCUGGUCUCAAGCUCCUGACCUCAGGUGAUCUGCCUGCCUUGGCCUCCCAAAGUGCUGGGAUUACAGGCGUGAGCCACCGCGCCCAGCACCCCAUUAAAUCUUAUCACAAAGCCUCUUCAAACUUGGCUCCAAUGGAGGGAAUUGAUACUUCAGCAAUAUUCUGUCUUCUACUCCAUGAGCAUAAACUGAUGCUAUCCUGAGCAAACUAGAAUGAUUACCCUAUGAAGGUUCAGUAACUAUAAUAGGGGUAUUUUUGGCAUUAGUUUGAGACCUACAGCCUGUGCCAAAAGUGAACAGGAAGCAUCACAUUUAAAAGAUGUAUAAAAUAUGUCUAUAUCUAUCCAUUUGAUAUGGCUUGACUGUGUCACCACCCAAAUCUUAUUUGGAAUUCCCACAUGUUGUAGGAGGGAACCGGUAGGAGGUAAUUGAAUCAUGGGGGCAAGUCUCCCGUGCUAUUUUCAUGAUAGUGAAUAAGUCUCACGAUAUCUGAUGGUUUUAAAAAAAGGAGUUCCCCUGCACAAGCUCUCUGUGUUUGCCUACUGCCAUCCAUGUAAGACGUGACUUGCUCCUCCUUGCCUUCUAAUACAUCAUCUAUCUGGUUAUUUCAUACAUAUUUUCUAGCAUUUUAUUAUUGGUUUCUUCAAAACUCUUCAGAAACUAAUAUAUGUAUAUUUUCCACCAUGAUCAACUGUGCAUAUUAAUAUAUAUUAUUUGGUAUAUGAAUGUGGAUUCAUAAUUGAGAUUAUGUUCCAAUGAGUCAUAGUAAAAGUACAGAAAAUUAAUAUUUCUAAUGCCUUAUCAACCGAUGAUUAUUAUAAAAUUAGCCUUUAUGUCAAGUUCUCAUUGCUCUUGAAUUUCAUUCCAAACAGAAUUUUGGAAUUCAUAUUAUUUGGAAUAGUAUAGCUGUCAUACCUAAAUUAGUUUAAUAACCCACAUCUAAUGCAAAUUUACAUUAAGAUUUUACAUAAAUAAUUAUGGUGUAGAGUAUGACAAUCCUAUUUCAAAACCACAGAGCCCUUAGAAAAACAAAUUCUUGAUUUUUCAGAUAUCUCAAAUACUGUAAAAUACAGUAUAACUAAGAAUAAUUAGCCAUGAGGUCAAACUUCAAUUUCAAACAUUAUAAAAGUAAAAUUAAGAGUUAAAAUCUAAAACCACAUGAAAAUUUAUUCUUCAUUAUAAUCUCAAAUUUGAAAACGUUAUAUAAGAUUUAUGCAUUCAUUAGAAAGUGAUUUAUUGUAAUUUUAUAAGAUUUGCCAAUUUUUAAAGGUGUAUUUUUGAUCAAUGCAAUUAAAUGUUAAAAUUAUUAUGCUAUACAUUAUUAGUUCAUGACACAUUUUCAAAUAUGAAUGUGAUGUAGAAACAGGUGAUUAUCAGAAAAUAAACUCUGUUUUUAGUUUAAGACUAAAUUAAAGCUACCAAAAAGAAAUUUAGUUUCAAGAUAGGAAAGUUUAUUUGUAAGGAUGCUGGGAUGUUUGAACCCAAGAUGAGUGAUGUUUAAAAGGUUUUGCAAUGGCAUUCAAUGAAUAAAAAAUGUUUAGAGUUCAGUAACUUCAGUUACCAUUUUGGACAGAUAACAAGAGAUCCAAUCUGACUAGCAGAGAAUAGUGUAAGACAUUUAGAAUAGUUAGCAGUUUAAAUCAGAGGGUAGACAGAUUAUUUUCCAAUGUAGAGUACAUAUUUCUCCAUUUGCAUAAUCCUCACCAGUGGGUAGAAUUUAUGAAGAAUAGAAUUUGGUUCAUGGAAAGAAAAGCAGGCAGGAACUAAAUCAGAUAUAACUUUCUUCAUAUUUAAUAACUGAAGUUUACUCCUAUUUUGAGACUCAAUUCUGAUAGAAGUUGGAAAAUUAAUCUGUCAGUUUAACCCUAUCUCUAACCCCCUGCCAUGUAGAGAAUUGAACUAGCCUUCGCUCUCAUAAGUGGAAUUUUAAAAAAUAAUGAGUUACAUGAGCUGAUAAGCACACAUGCAUAGUCAAUGUUAAGGCUUAGCAUUUAUAAAAUUUGGGAUGAUAAUUUAUGGCAAAUGUUUAACACAUUUAAUAAGAUAAAUAGUUUUUAAGGCAUUGAAUAGGUAGGAGUUCAUAUGAGUUUACUCUGGGUUGCUAUUACUUUUACAUAGUCAAACUUUAUUUUGUAGUAUUUUUCUUCUUGAUUCUCUAGUCACUAUGAUAAUUAUUAGUAUGGAUGGUGACUUUUAUUUCCAAGCACAGCAUAAUCCACAAUAACAUAACAUUUAAAAGCAAAGGCUCUGUAUCGAUUAUUAACAUGAACAAUUUCCUUUGCUACCAUACUCCAUCCAGAUAAAGAACUGAAUGUUCCUCUGAACCUUCCAAUUAAUUUCCUCCAUUGUGAUGAAUCCUCCAUAGAUUUAUUGGCAAAACAUUAUUUCUAAGUGUUCUCCACCCUACUAUAAAUUGUCUCAAAAUAGUUUGUGUCUACCAACAAGGUAGUAUAGACUAUAAACUUAAUAAAUAGUAAUUAUUGAUAAUUAUGAGAUACCAGGAUGCUAAUGAAACUUUAUUGCUUGUAUUGAGAAAUGAGAGUAUAAAUUGAGUAUAAAAUGAAAAGACUUGAAUGCUUAGUAAAGCAUAUAAUGUAGCUAAAGUUAUUAAACAGAUAUAUGUAUAUGCCAA
rnacentral:lncRNA from 10 species